UACGUAGGAGGCAAGCGUUGUCCGGAUUUACUGGGUGUAAAGGGUCCGCAGGCGGGCGAUUAAGUCGGUGGUGAAAUCCUACAGCUUAACUGUAGAACUGCCUCCGAUACUGAUCGUCUUGAAUACGGGAGAGGGUGACGGAAUUCCAGGUGUAGCGGUGAAAUGCUUAGAUAUCUGGAAGAACACCAGUCGCGAAGGCUGUUACCUGGCCCGUUAUUGACGCUCAGGGACGAAAGCGUGGGUAGCAAACAGG
rnacentral:rRNA from 1 species